GAUGAACGCUGACAGAAUGCUUAACACAUGCAAGUCAACUUGAAUUUGGGUUUUUAACUUAGGUUUGGGUGGCGGACGGGUGAGUAACGCGUAAAGAACUUGCCUCACAGCUAGGGACAACAUUUGGAAACGAAUGCUAAUACCUAAUAUUAUGAUAAUAGGGCAUCCUAUAAUUAUGAAAGCUAUAAGCGCUGUGAGAGAGCUUUGCGUCCCAUUAGCUAGUUGGAGAGGUAACGGCUCACCAAGGCGAUGGUGGGUAGCCGGCCUGAGAGGGUGAUCGGACACACUGGAAUUGAGACACGGUCCAGACGCCGACGGGAGGCAGCAGUGGGGAAUAUUGGAGAUGGGGCGCAAGCCUUCUCCAGCCAUGCCGCGUGUGUGAAAAAGAUCUUCGGAUUGUAAAGAAAGUUAAGUAGGAAGGAAGUGCAGGAAGAUAAUACCGUGCUGUUUUGACGUUAACCACAGAAUAAGCAACGGCUAACUUCGUG
rnacentral:rRNA from 1 species